rnacentral:rRNA from 1 species
GGCGCAGACGGUUAUUUAAGCAAGAUGUGAAAGCCCCGGGCUCAACCUGGGAACUGCGUUUUGAACUGGGUAACUAGAGUGUGUCAGAGGGGGGUAGAAUUCCACGUGUAGCAGUGAAAUGCGUAGAGAUGUGGAGGAAUACCGAUGGCGAAGGCAGCCCCCUGGGAUAACACUGACGUUCAUGCUCGAAAGCGUGGGUAAGCAAACA